CUCCAUGUCCCCACCCUUCUCACUGCUGUAGCUUCAGGGUAGAGGAGCCACAGAGCCAAAUGCUGCACAGACCAAGGGAGAUGAAAGGAUGUCGCCUCCAGAGCUGGGGCCACGGGCAGCGUCAGGGCAGGUUCAUCACUGAUGGCAAGUCUGUGACUGACCACGUUCACAGGGGUGGCCCCGAGCAAAGGUCGGACAUGAGAACCCAGGAGAAUUCAGGCCCUGGCUCUGGGACGGCUGUGCACCCCCACCCUGGCUAUGGCUGGCACCUCAGAAGGCACAGCUGUCCUUCACUCACAGAGGAAGGGCAACUCGAGGAGGCACAUUUUAGGAAACUGCCCAUGGAGCCAGCUUCGAUUCUCCAAACCUCAUCAGCCUGCACUGGCUGCCAGCUUCGAUUCUCCAAACCUCGUCAGCCUGCGCUAGCUGCCAGCUCCCUGACUCGGCAGCAAGGAGGGCCUCAGCAGCCGACCCCCAUGCCCGGCACCCCCUUCACCACAGGGUCCUGAAAACUCCAAAGAGCAGUGCCCUGUGCAUUAAACACAGACUGCGCCCUUGUACUCAGGAGGAUGCAAUUCUCUCUCUAAAGUCGAGAGCUCACCACCCCGGGCGUUAGUCACUGCAGACAUCAGACAUCACUGCAGACACAGAGAUGGCCAUUAUGCAGCCUCACGUGGUCGCUCCUGGGGGCUGUGGGAUAUUUGAUCCUAAAGAGAAAACACCUUAAAUUCACGUGUCAUCCACCCCCAUGGCGACUCUUAACACUUUAAUGUAGCACCUUCCAACUUUUCCUGGGCAUUUAUGUACACAUUUUAAAUAAAAUUAGGUUCUUACUGCAUACACUGCUUGCUGGUUUUUAAAUAAAAUUGGGUUCUUACUGCA
rnacentral:antisense_RNA from 1 species